GUGGCAUUGCAGAUAAAGUUUUGCCGAAACUGAUUGAGGAUUACAUGAAUUGGUUGUUGAGGGGGCUUCUAAAAAAUCAUAACAAUAAGAACCCAUCGGACGAUAAAUACAGAUCAAGAUCUUCUUCUUUUGGAUUUACGAUGAUGGACUUUGUUGUUGCUUUUCCAAUGAA